rnacentral:rRNA from 1 species
GACGAACGCUGGCGGCGUGAUUAACACAUGCAAGUCGAACGAAGUGGCGAACGGGUGAGUAACGCGUAAUCAACCUGCCCUUCAGAGGGGGACAACAGUUGGAAAAGACUGCUAAUAACGCAUACUGAAGGAGGGGCUUUCGUCUGCUUAGCUAGUUGGAGGGGUAACGGCCCACCAAGGCGAGGAUCAGUAGCCGGUCUGGGAGGAUGAACGGCAACAUUGGGACGGAGACACGGCCAAGACUCGUACGGGAGGCAGCAGUUGGGAGUCUGCCGAAAGGGACGAAAGUCGGACAGAGCAACGCCCCGUGAGGGAUGACGGUCUUCGGGUUGUAAAGCUCUGUUAAUCGGGACGCGGUACCGGAAUAGAAAGCCACGGCUAACUACGUGCCAGCAGCCGCGGUAAUAC